rnacentral:rRNA from 1 species
AGAGUUUGAUCAUGGCUCAGAGCGAACGCUGGCGGCAGGCCUAAUACAUGCAAGUCGAACGCACCUUCGGGUGAGUGGCGGACGGGUGAGUAACGCGUGGGAACGUGCCCUUUGGUACGGAACAACUGAGGGAAACUUCAGCUAAUACCGUAUGUGCCCUUCGGGGGAAAGAUUUAUCGCCAUUGGAGCGGCCCGCGUUGGAUUAGCUAGUUGGUGGGGUAAAAGCCUACCAAGGCUACGAUCCAUAGCUGGUCUGAGAGGAUGAUCAGCCACACUGGGACUGAGACACGGCCCAGACUCCUACGGGAGGCAGCAGUAGGGAAUCUUGCGCAAUGGGCGAAAGCCUGACGCAGCCAUGCCGCGUGAAUGAUGAAGGUCUUAGGAUUGUAAAAUUCUUUCACCGGGGAAGAUAAUGACGGUACCCGGAGAAGAAGCCCCGGCUAACUUCGUGCCAGCAGCCGCGGUAAUACGAAGGGGGCUAGCGUUGCUCGGAAUUACUGGGCGUAAAGGGCGCGUAGGCGGAUAUCUAAGUUGGGGGUGAAAGCCCGGGGCUCAACCUCGGAAUAGCCUUCAAUACUGGGUAUCUUGAGUUCGGGAGAGGUGAGUGGAAUGCCGAGUGUAGAGGUGAAAUUCGUAGAUAUUCGGCGGAACACCAGUGGCGAAGGCGACUCACUGGCCCGAUACUGACGCUGAGGCGCGAAAGCGUGGGGAGCAAACAGGAUUAGAUACCCUAGUAGUCC